UACAGAGGCCACAAGCGUUAGACGGAAUCACUGGGCUUAAAGCGUGUGUAGGCGGGAUGGUAAGUACCUUGUGAAAUCCCACAGCUUAACUGUGGAAUUGCUUGGUAUACUGCCGUUCUUGAGUCACCUAGGGGCAGCUGGAACGAGAUGGGUGGAGCGGUGAAAUGCAUAGAUAUCAUCUGGAACGCCAAUGGUGCAGACAAGGCUGCUGGGGGUGUAGCUGA
rnacentral:rRNA from 1 species